rnacentral:rRNA from 1 species
UACGGGGGGUGCAAGCGUUGUCCGGAAUCACUGGGCGUAAAGGGCGCGUAGGUGGCGUCGUAAGUCUGUGGUGAAAGCCCGGAGCUCAACUCCGGAACUGCCAUUGAAACUGUGAGACUUGAGGAUGAGAGAGGUGAGUGGAAUUCCCAGUGUAGAGGUGAAAUUCGUAGAUAUUGGGAAGAACACCGGUGGCGAAGGCGGCUCACUGGCUCAUUUCUGACGCUCAGGCGCGACAGCGUGGGGAUCAAACAGG